ACAGCCACAUCAAGUUGAAACACCAGUUCCUGUACAAUCACCAGUGUUAAGCAAUAUUGAGCUUGGUCAGUACUUAGAUGGGUGACCACUUGGGAAUACCAGGUGCU